rnacentral:lncRNA from 1 species
GGAAAGGCAGCCGAGCCGGCUGCAGGCUGGGGCCGGCAGGAUUAACCCCGGGCAGCAGCAGCGGUGGCCGGGGGGCUCCCUGCGGAGCGGGCAUCGUGGCCUUUGCGAAGCGCCUUCAGCCCCCUCCCUGCCCGGCCGGCGGGAGCGGAGAGGCGCCGGCCCGGCUCCCCACGGGCUGCAUGCGGGAGGGGGCCAGGGCGAGCCGCCGCCGCCUGCCCCCAGCCCCGUAGCCCGCUCCCCGGGGGCUGCGCCGGGCUCGGCUCGGGACCAUGCGGCCGGCAGUGAGAGGAGAAUCGAACCUCAGCAUCUGCCCAAGGGGCUGUGCCGUGAUGCAAACGCCACGAUUACAUUGGAGGAGAAUGAUGUGCAGGCAAAGUAGCUGGAGCUGAGAAAAAUCUGUCCUUGUGCACCUCCUCCCCAUGUCAGAACACCCGGAGCUGCAGGAGAACUGGGCCACCAUGAACGGACCCGGGGAGCCGACGCGCCCUUGCGCCCCUUGAGAGAAACGCCCGACCCCGAAGAGGCAACGAGGUCGAUGCCAGGACGCUGCUGGUGUUUCUGCUCUGCCAGGGGACUCUGAAUGGAUUUGCCAUGGUGACAUGAAAAAGACAGGGGGGAUACCCGACUGCCGGCUGGGAGAUCCUACACACGCACACGCAGCCUGCUAGUAUUUUAAUUUAUUACUGUGCUUUCCUGUGAAGGGGGUUGAG